rnacentral:rRNA from 1 species
GACAGAGGGUGCAAACGUUGCUCGGAAUCACUGGGCGUAAAGGGCGCGUAGGCGGGUAUGUAAGUCGGGCGUGAAAUCCCUAGGCUCAACCUAGGAACUGCACUCGAAACUGCGUUUCUUGAGUAUCGGAGAGGAAAGCGGAAUUCCUGGUGUAGAGGUGAAAUUCGUAGAUAUCAGGAGGAACACCAGUGGCGAAGGCGGCUUUCUGGACGAUUACUGACGCUGAGACGCGAAAGCGUGGGGAGCAAACAGG